rnacentral:tRNA from 5 species
GGGCGAGUAGAUCAGCGGCAGAUCGCUUCCUUCGCAAGGAAGAGGCCCGGGGUUCAAAUCCCCGCUCGUCCA